GACGAACGCUGGCGGCGUGCUUAACACAUGCAAGUCGAACGGUAAGGCCCUUCGGGGUACACGAGUGGCGAACGGGUGAGUAACGCGUGAGUAACCUGCCCUUCACUCUGGGAUAACAGUUGGAAACGGCUGCUAAUACCGGAUAUUCAGCUCCUGUCGCAUGGUGGGGGUUGGAAAGUUUUGGUGGUGGAGGAUGGGCUCGCGUCCUAUCAGCUUGUUGGUGGGGUGAUGGCCUACCAAGGCGUCGACGGGUAGCCGGCCUGAGAGGGCGACCGGCCACAUUGGGACUGAGAUACGGCCCAAACUCCUACGGGAGGCAGCAGCGGGGAAUAUUGCACAAUGGGCGGAAGCCUGAUGCAGCAACGCCGCGUGCGGGAUGACGGCCUUCGGGUUGUAAACCGCUUUCAGCAGGGACGAAGCGCAAGUGACGGUACCUGCAGAAGAAGCACCGGCUAACUACGUG
rnacentral:rRNA from 1 species